rnacentral:rRNA from 1 species
CCUACGGGUGGCAGCAGUGAGGAAUAUUGGUCAAUGGCCGCAAGCCUUAUCCAGCCAAGCCGCGUGAAGGAAGAAGGAUCUAUGGUUUUUAAACUUCUUUUAUGGGGGAAUAAAGGUAUCCACGUGUGGAUAUUUGCAUGUACCCUAUGAAUAAGCAUCGGCUAACUCCGUGCAAGCAGCCGCGGUAAUACGGAGGAUGCGAGCGUUAUCCGGAUUUAUUGGGUUUAAAGGGUGCGUAGGUUGUUUUUUAAGUCAGCGGUGAAAGUUUGUGGCUCAACCAUAAAAUUGCCGUUGAAACUGGAAGUCUUGAGUGUGUUUGAGGUAGGCGGAAUGCGUGGUGUAGCGGUGAAAUGCAUAGAUAUCACGCAGAACUCCGAUUGCGAAGGCAGCUUACUAAGCCAUAACUGACACUGAAGCACGAAAGCGUGGGGAUCAAACAGGAUUAGAUACCCGUGUAGUC